rnacentral:rRNA from 1 species
UACAGAGGUCUCAAGCGUUGUUCGGAUUCAUUGGGCGUAAAGGGCGCGUAGGCUGCGGGGCAAGUCGGGUGUGAAAUCUCAGAGCUCAACUCUGAAACUGCACUCGAUACUGCUUUGCUUGAGGACUGGAGAGGAGAUUGGAAUUCACGGUGUAGCAGUGAAAUGCGUAGAGAUGUGGAGGAACACCAGUGGCGAAGGCGACUCUUUGGCCUGUAACUGACGCUGAGGCGCGAAAGCGUGGGGAGCAAACAGG